UACGAAGGGGGCUAGCGUUGUUCGGAAUCACUGGGCGUAAAGGGCGCGUAGGCGGCUUGAUAAGUCGGGGGUGAAAGCCUGUGGCUCAACCACAGAAUUGCCUUCGAUACUGUCGAGCUUGAGACCGGAAGAGGUAAGUGGAACUGCGAGUGUAGAGGUGAAAUUCGUAGAUAUUCGCAAGAACACCAGUGGCGAAGGCGGCUCACUGGCCCAUAACUGACGCUGAGGCACGGAAAGCGUGGGGAGCAAACAGGAUU
rnacentral:rRNA from 1 species